CUCCAGUCUCUCCUGGGCUCUCCUGGCGUCGCGGCGUCCGUCGCUCGUCGGCGGAUCCGUCGGAUCAUGAACUAGUCGAAGCCCCUCUUAAAUUCGGCAUCCGGUUCCGUUCGUCGCGUUCCGAAGAUCGUUUCAAAUUUCCGAUGUGAAAAAUACUCGGUACGAACGAUCCGCGGAGCGAUUAACAAGAGUCAGGUUUGGUUGGGACGCGUCUCGCAGGAAGCGAACAGCUGUUCGUAGUGCGUAUCGGGCCACGCGUCGUUCGUAGACUCGGCGUCGGUAAGCAGUUUCCUAACUUACCGAGCGGCUCGGUUUUUCCCCGUUUCUUCCCGUUCUUCGCUACUUUCUCGAUCGGAACGCUGCGGGAAAGAACAUGUCCGUCAUCGUUGAUCGGCUCCGUCGCAUAAUGAAAGGCGAAGACUCUCGGCCGGUUAACGAUGAGAAAGAGAUCAAGGGAUACCGAGUGACAAAUGCCGAUCGCACUCGGAGAUUCGGGGUCGCUUGCAAGGAUUUUCAGGAGCUUAAAAGCAAGGCCUGCGCAAAGUUUAAUAUUUUAAACCCCGAUGAGCGGGAUAGAGUGACGAUUUGUCUCGUCGACGGAUCGGUAAUCGACGACGAAUAUUUUCAAUUGGUAGAACCGCAGACUACCUUGAUACUGCGGCGACAUGGGGAGAAGUUUUUGUCAGAUGCUGACAUAUUAUACAACACGCUGCGUCAAGUCAAUCUCGAGUUCAUAACGACCGGCGAUGCGAUAUCGAGAUUUCUCACCGAGAAUCUAAAGUCGAAGAUCGCAGUUUUGAACAAGGCUCUGAACAAGAACGACGAAAAGACUAGACUCAGUUCGAGGGAGGAUCAUCCCGACUGGUUUAAGAAUUUGGAGACGACGGCCACAACUAAAGAGGCCUACAUGCACCGCAGAUGCCAGGACAGGAUCCGGUGUUACCUGUACAAAACGAUCGAUCAAAUAAAGACUUCGGACGUAUAUUCGAAGAACGAAUCGGCAAGGCGUCGUCUGUUGCACGUGAUGACGUAUUUCAAGCUCCAACUGAAGGAGGAUCACUGUUUCGGUUUUUACUUUGACCGAAGUUACGCAAGAGGGGCGAAAAAUCGGUUGGAGAUCGGCCGAUCGAUCGGCGAAAAAGAAGAAGAAGAAGCAGAAAAACCUGCGAAUUUGAGUUCGGACGAGGCGGAUUUCAGCGCCUCGGUAUUUUCGUGCCACCAUUUUCACUGUCCGUGCAAAAUCGGCGCUGUCUCUGCAGGUUUCUGGUCGCCGUGGAACAGCAACCGAUUUCUCGCGGAAUUUUUCCCCGAGGAAAACGAUAGCGACGAAACGGACGCCAGACGAAUAUCUCCCGUUAAAAAAACAACCGCUAACGAUAAAUCUGCCGAUUUAUGUCCCUACGAAAUCGGCAAAAACGACGAAACGGUGCCGCGAUUCGCGCUCUGUAAUUCUGACGGUGAAUUCAGAUGCGACGGCGUCUGGAGCGCCGAUCGAUGUGCUUACGCCGAUAGGCACUCCAUCAAUCCUUACCGAUCAUACGAGGAACUGGUUCUCUUUUCGACGUGGAAUUUCGACCACAGAGUUAGACGCUAGUCAAAUCACGAGGUCAUGGCUCUUCUUACCUACAAUCAGCCAGCCUUCCUUUUACGCAUUGUGAAUUUAACGAUCCGUCACUGUUUCGGGCAAAUCAUCAUCCUCGCGCCUGCAGGGUUUGGCAAUCCUAACGACGUCUUCUUCUUGGUCCAUAAUAACUAUCUACCGACGUGGCUGCGGGAUGAUCCUUGACGGACAAUGAAAUUGGAUCGAGAGAUCGCGAACUCUGAUACCAAACCUGUUGCGAGCGUCUGAGGAGAAGGCGAUAAGUCGUGAGGAUCUAGUUCACCUCUACGAGAAUAUAUUCACGGUGAAAAAUCUACGACUGGUGC
rnacentral:misc_RNA from 1 species